GAUGAACGCUGGCGGCGUGCCUAAUACAUGCAAGUCGAGCGAAGCGGGGACGGGUGAGGAACACGUAGAUAACCUCCUAUAAGACUGGGAUAACUUCGGGAAACAGGUGCGAAACAGGAUACUAAUAGAUGGAAGCACGCUGCAUUAGCUAGGUGGUACGGGAACGGCUUACCAAGGGAACGAUGCAUAGCCGACCUGAGAGGGGGAGCGGCCACACUGGAACGGAGACACGGUCCAGACUCCGACGGGAGGCAGCAGUAGGGAAUCUUCUGCAGUGGGCGAAAGCCUGACGGAGCAACGCCGCGUGAGUGAUGAAGGUUUUCGGAUCGGAAAACUCUGUUAUUAGUGAAGCGGUACCUAAUCAGAAAGCCACGGCUAACUACGUGCCAGCAGCCGCGGUAAUAC
rnacentral:rRNA from 1 species